rnacentral:rRNA from 1 species
AUUGAACGCUGGCGGCAGGCGUAACACAUGCAAGUCGAGCGGAGAUGAGGUGCUUGCACCUUAUCUUAGCGGCGGACGGGUGAGUAGUGCUUAGGAAUCUGCCUAUUAGUGGGGGACAACAUUCCGAAAGGAAUGCUAAUACCGCAUACGUCCUACGGGAGAAAGCAGGGGAUCUUCGGACCUUGCGCUAAUAGAUGAGCCUAAGUCGGAGUAGCUAGUUGGUGGGGUAAAGGCCUACCAAGGCGACGAUCUGUAGCGGGUCUGAGAGGAUGAUCCGCCACACUGGGACUGAGACACGGCCCAGACUCCUACGGGAGGCAGCAGUGGGGAAUAUUGGACAAUGGGGGGAACCCUGAUCUAGCCAUGCCGCGUGUGUGAAGAAGGCCUUAUGGUUGUAAAGCACUUUAAGCGAGGAGGAGGCUACUGAGACUAAUACUCUUGGAUAGUGGACGUUACUCGCAGAAUAAGCACCGGCUAACUCUGUGCCAGCCGCCGCCGUAA